GGACCCGCACAAGUAGUGGAGCAUGUGGUUUAAUUCGAAGAUACGCGCAGAACCUUACCAACACUUGACAUGUUCGUCGCGACUUUAAGAGAUUAAAGUUUUCGGUUCGGCCGGACGAAACACAGGUGCUGCAUGGCUGUCGUCAGCUCGUGUCGUGAGAUGUUGGGUUAAGUCCCGCAACGAGCGCAACCCUCACUUUUUAGUUGCCAUCAUUAAGUUGGGCACUCUGAAAGAACUGCCAGUGAUAAGCUGGAGGAAGGUGGGGAUGACGUCAAGUCCUCAUGGCCCUUACGUGUUGGGUUACACACGUGCUACAAUGGUAUCUACAACAGGAAGCAAGACUGCGAAGUUAAGCAAAUCCUUAAAAGAUACCUCAGUUCGGAUUGCACUCUGCAACUCGAGUGCAUGAAGCUGGAAUUACUAGUAAUCG
rnacentral:rRNA from 1 species